rnacentral:rRNA from 1 species
CACGGGGGGAGCAAGCGUUGUUCGGAAUCACUGGGCGUGAAGGGCGUGUAGGCGGUCUGGUAAGUGGGAUGUGAAAGCCCCCGGCUCACCCGGGGAUCUGCAUUCCAAACUGCCAGACUUGAGUAUGGGAGAGGACAGGGGAAUUCCUGGUGUAGCGGUGAAAUGCGUAGAUAUCGAGGAGGAACACCGGUGGCGAAAGCGCCUGUCUGGCCCAAUACUGACGCUGAUGCGCGAAAGCUAGGGGAGCAAACGGG